rnacentral:misc_RNA from 1 species
GUCGUAAACACCAAAAUAAUCAUCCCUCCUGCUGCCGCCGCCGCCGCCUUCACUGAAAAAACACGGAUAAAUCGCCACCGCAUCUUCCAUUUCCCUUCUCCGGCCGAUCAACGAUAUCGAUCCAUGUGAACAGCACGUCACCAAGCUCUCCCUUACUUUUUUCACUUCACUAGAUAACGCUAGUUGAACUCGAUGAUCAUCAGUAUCAGUUACAGUACUUUUUUUCCUCUUACAAUGCCUGUAAUCAUCUGCGAAGACAUCGAAAUUUUCCGGUAGCUCAGUCGUCGAUUUCAACAAACGUUCAUCCAAUCGCCUACGUCGAGUAGAAUUUUGCUCCUUCUCACUCAGAUCUACUUCUGCUAGUCCACCGGAAUCUAUCAACGCCGUUAACCGGCAACCUUUCUCGGUUGCCGGCGGCAUACCUUUAACGUUAUCAAUCAUUUUAAUGUGAAGACGGUGACUGCAUUGCGAAGAUUAUAAAACGGAAGUAGUAUAAGAUAUUUUGCGUAAUU